UACGUAGGUGGCGAGCGUUAUCCGGAUUUACUGGGUGUAAAGGGCGUGUAGGCGGUUCUGCAAGUCAGAUGUGAAAUUUCCGGGCUUAACCCGGACGGGUCAUCUGAAACUGCAGGACUUGAGUACUGGAGAGGAUAGCGGAAUUCCUAGUGUAGCGGUGAAAUGCGUAGAUAUUAGGAGGAACACCAGUUGCGAAGGCGGCUCUCUGGACUGUAACUGACGCUGAGGCACGAAAGCGUGGGGAGCAAACAGGAUUAGAUACCCGCGUA
rnacentral:rRNA from 1 species